GUUUCUGCUGCACUAAAAACAAAAAGUCAGCUUCUAUCCCGUCCCUUAAAGGCAGGCACUUUCAGCCAGCAACUCUGUGCUCAUGGUAAAAUUCCAUUCAGCUCCAAUGUGCUGAGCCCCCCCAAAAAACCCAUGUCCCAGCGGUGUGAGAUAAAAACAGGCCGCUCCGCACGGACAGUGAAAAAACAAAACCCGGAUCGCAGGCUGGUCUCCUGAUAGGCACUGUCGGAAUGUUAUUCAGCGGCUGCCAGAAUUUUCCGCCCUAUUCUUCUCCCCCCCCGCCCCCUCCUGUGUCAGCACUAACUGUGGCCCCUGCCCCUGGCCACUCGCACUGAAGCCACGCCACGCCGCGCCCCACCUGCCGCCCGGAGCACCGCCACACACCUGGGACCCCCCCAAGCAAGCGCCCGGCUCUUCCUGGGCAUCCCGCGAGGGGGUGGGGGAGGGGAUCAGGCCGGUCCGGAAGCCCGUGAUCCGUGGGCGGAAGAUGUCCCUCAGGAGGAGACUGCUCUCGGCCCUGCUCUGCUGCGUGUACUGCCUGGCCUCGCUGUUCUGCCUGCACCCUGACCGCCGCAAUUGCGCCUCUCUGGGGGCUCGGAAUCUGGUGUCUUUUGCUCAGCAUCUGUGUGAGAGAGCUCUGAGACUCCUGCGCACAGCACUGUGAACCUUGUGCCGCCCCCCCGUGACGUCAUCCAGAUGUGUGCCCCGCCCACACCCCUGGAGAAGGCGUGUCCUGGAUACAGUGGUUUUCACCUGCUCAGGAAGAUCUCUCGCAUUACCGGAUGAGGACUCUUCAGAUUUCAUAAUUUGUUCUGUUAGCCUGGAUUUUAUCUUGACGAUUUUCUUUUUUUGAAAUUCACGUGCUCUGCAAUGGUGAAGCAUCACUCAUCUAAUCUAAGGAUAAAUUAAUGUGAUCCUAAAACUUGCCUGUAAUGCAGCGCAUAUGAUUUCUAUAUAAAGAAACUUGCUUUUUGGGUGACCUCAUUUCUGAAGUUUUUUUAUUAUUAUUAUUAUUCCACGGUACUGUAUUGUACUUUUCAUUUUCACUUCCCUGCUUCGCUCAGCGACGACUCCACUGUGACCCCAUGUGGCGAUUUGGUGAAUAAUCGGAUUGAGUUGUGUUGCACUGGAAUGACACAGGGCUUUUAAACCCAGCUCUUGGAAGACUAGGUUUCUACCCUGAGAAGUCAAUUAAACGAUUAAACUAACCCCUUUCUGCAUGAGACAUAUAUGGGAUUUUUCAUUGUAUUUUACAAUUGAUUACACGAGACAGUCAGUCCAUUAACAGUACAGUUACCUAGAAUUCACCUAGCAGCCUGGGUAAGAUCAGAAGAUAAGAAAGUUGGUAAAAUAAGAUUUUCUGACCAACUUUGGGUGGAACAAAAAGCAGCAGUCACCAGGCCGUCUAGGAUCUCAGAGUGAGAUGGCCACAUUAAGGG
rnacentral:lncRNA from 1 species